rnacentral:lncRNA from 1 species
UUGCGAUUUGUUUUCCUUUUUUUUUUUUCCUGUUUCAAAGUUUUUGUCUGAGAGUCCAGAACUUAAAGAUGACUCCAUUUUGCAAGAAAACCAUGUUCACCUUACUGAAACACAGUGGUUUCAGCUUUCUGAAGAGGUGAUCUCCGGUGAUCUGUCCUGGACUUGGUUGGUGUUCGUGGUUGGUGUGAAUGGGGAGCAGGGAAGUGUUGCCUUGGCCUGUGCACGGCGGUGAGUGCU